CACAGACUGAUGCGACAAAACCAACAUGGCUGGUAAGGACAUGAGGAGGAAACAGUAGGAGCUGUGUGAGGCUACUAAAGGCAGUGGAUCCCUCAGCAGCUGGAUUACAAAGAGCACAGUCUCAGAUCAACACAGCCCUGCCCUCCAGCACUAUCAGCAGCAGGAGCAGCAGCAACCCCUCAACAGCAACAUUGUACCCAUCAGGUAAAACAUAGGCUACGUUUGCUUUGCCUCACAACAGUGAUAUAGUAUGAUGCGAUCCCAUAUUAGAUUCUUGAUGAAUGUGUGUUGU